CAUCAGUGCCCGACCUCACUAAUACUCUUGUGGCCAAAUGGAAAAAAGUCCCCGCAGCAAUGUUCCAACAUCUAGUGGAAAGCCUUCCCAGAAGAGUGGAGACUGUUAUAGCAGCAAAGGGGGGACGAACUCCAUAUUAAUGCCCAUGAUUUUGGAAUGAGAUGUUCGAUGAGCAGGUGUCCACAUACUUUUGGUCAUGUAGUGUAUGUUUGGCACAAGUUAGAUUGAUAAAAUAUAUGUUUUUUAUGUAAAAUUCUUGGCACUGGUGUGUCUUAGUUGUCUGUGUAUAUAUAUUUGUUCUGUUUAAUCUUCAAAAAUACCUGAAACCAUUCACAUUGUCUGUGUUUUUUGUUUUGUCACUGUGUUUUUCCAUCUCCCAUCACCAUCAACCAUACCAUUUGUUUUUAGUAAUACAUUAACUGCCAUAAAGAGCUUUGUACCACAAGUUUACUGAAAGCAGAUUGCUCCUCAAACAAAAUGAUGGUUAUCCUGUUUUAAGUAUUACUUCAGUUGUAAAGUAGAUUUGAGGACUAUUCACUGCCUGCUAUAGUCUCUCCUGUUCCUUUUGAAAUAGUUUUCCCGCUUCUAACUUGUCCCAUUUGAAUGUAGUGUCUAACCUCUCUAGAUUUAUUUUGGUGUAGUUGCCCUUGUAGUGUAUGUUACUACAUUUGCUCUCUGAGUAUGGCCUAGUAUGAUUUACUACAUCACAAGGUAACAGCUGUCCGUGAAUUGGGCCUCUGGCAUCAAAUGAGACAUUGUAUCCAGAGACUGUGGUAGAAGCAAGGUACUGUAACCCCUUUCUAAUAUUUUGAAACCUCCCAGCCCUGCCGCUAAGCUAACGAGCAGCUCUUGUUCCGCUGCCUCGCGUAACGCCAAGCUCGGCUGUCACGUGCAGUACUAGUGCCUCUAUUGAUGCCUUAACUAACUCCUGUCUUUUCACCACGGGGCCUGUUUGCGCCACUGCACAGUGCAGGCCAUCAUCGCAUGCAGACAGAAGCAGCCGAGCAGGCUGGGGUCGACUUCACGUCCUGCGGAUACAAAUCAACCCUUCAGCAUCAGUAGUCAACUCUGUGAUACUUUCGAAGCGAUAUUAACACAGUUUGCACAGUUUGUUUCUUGGUAGUCUUAGACAAAUCUUCUUUAAAACAAAAGUAUACACCUCACACACAUGGUUAUGGGCUUAAAAAAAGAAGACACCUGUACCAUGUCAGAUAUAGAAUAGAAAUGUAUUUGCAUCCCAAUUUCACACUUUAUAAUCAUCACAGAAGACUGAAAUAUAACAAAAUUGUUUGAUAUAGAAACACCAGAUUUUCAGCGUGAAAAAAAAGAAAGGUUCCACCCAUCAGACCACUAGAGGGCGAUCUGGUCAUUUGACUGCAGGAAAGGGGUACUAAUGUGACUUUGAUCUGGUGCUGAAUCAUUAGAAAGGAGAAUUGAGAACCUACGUGAAAUGUAGGCUUGGCCUAUUCCGCACAGAACUCUCUGUUACGGUGGCUGUGGGAGUGUGCAUGAUCCCACGCUGAACUUUUGAAUAUCAACAAAAGAUGAGUCAUUGAAAUGUUCCCUUGCAUAAUGCAUGCUGAUUCAAACAAGACGACUUGCAGCCACUUAGCUGCUAAUUAUGUUGAUCCUUAGUUUUGGACCUAGCUAGCAUUAGCGUUAGUGUUAGCGUUAGCAUGACAACUCAACAAAUGGCAUAUUAGACAACGAAAAAUUAAACAGAGUCGUAUUCAUUAGGGCGUUUUUCAGUCCAAGUGAUCCCUCCCUGUUUCGGUCAAUUUUCUUCCAUUUAGUGCCUAAUGAAUACCACCCAGAAACAAAGACAUAACAUGGAAUCGUACAGUAAUGUCUGAAUCAAUUAGGAAAAUGUUUUGUUUGUUAUGCCUUUGCACGCGCAAUCAUAAUAUUUGUUUCGUAGUGUCCUUGGGGUUUGAACAGUAGUUACUUUGCAUAUAGUUUGUAUACCGUUGCUACUGCUGCACCCAAAACAUAUAGUCCUCUCAAGAAAGAACGAGAUCGUCGAGGGAGACUGCAAAGUAAGCGUUUGCACAGGUAAAGAGAAUACAAAGCAUUUAUUUAACCACAAAAGAUCUCUAUGUAUAAGGUUGAGAAAUUAUAUUUUCAGAAUUCUCACCUAUACUUCCUGUCUUCGGUUGCUAUGAUCAUGUACAUUGGCUAUGAUAUGGUUGCUAUGAUCAUGUACAUUGGCUAUGAUAUGGUUGCUAUGAUCAUGUAUAGUACAUUGGUGUAUAUUGGUGCUCUACAACACUGUAUUUGGGUAUGAUAAAGGUCUAUAACAGUUUACCACACAUUUGUAGCUUGUACAUUUAUAUGAAAUGAUAACCAUCUACAAUAAAGUACACAUCCUAAAAAAUAUAGAACUGCCAUUUAUAUCCACUGGUUCCUAAUCCUAUGUCCUUAAUGGCACAUAUUGGCUCUUCAUUUUUUUAAAUAAUUACAGUACAUGGUAUUGGAUUGAUAAAUGUAAACGUUGAACAUUAUUCUUCUUCUCUGGUUGGGAAACAAAGCAUGUCUGUUGUGUGUCCCCAGUCCAUUCUCUGUCUAUCCAAUGCUGCUCUCUCACUGUGGAGGUCAAGAUUUCAUGCUUUUGGUGAUGCCCCAAAUGACAUCCUAAUCCCUACAUUGUAAACUUCUUUUGAUAGGACUUGUCAAAAGUAGUGCACUAAAUAGGGAAUAGGGUGCCAUUUCGAAUGUACAUUUGUGUUUUGUCAAGGCGGUUUUGAGUGACAGCCCCCUGAAAGGGGAUCAUAUAAACCUGUCAUAUUUGAUGUGGGACUGUUUAUGGCUAGACCUGUUUAAGAGUUUCUGCUUUGGGCUCGGAGACUCUGGGGAGAGCAGGGGGGUCACUAUACAAGUGUAUGUACUGUACAGUCAGUCAUUGUGUCUGUCUAUAGUUCCGCAGUUAAAGUACAUACACUAUUUUCACAACUUUCUUUCUAUGCAUAUAUCUAUUACUAUUUUUGCACUGACCUAUGGAUGGACAGCUGGAUUUUAUUUUUUCACACAAAGGGUGCUAUUAUAACGGAGGCCUUCUCCCUGACAACAGCUUUUUGCAUGACCUGCUCAAUAUUCCCCCUUAUGAAGGAUCUAUGACCUCUCCUCCUCUAUUCUUAAAUCGUUUCGGUUUAAGCACUGUCAUUUUGUAAUCCCUUACCCUACUUGUGAUGUUUGAAAUAAACAGAGAGGCUAAAAGCUUA